rnacentral:rRNA from 1 species
GACGAACGCUGGCGGCGUGCUUAACACAUGCAAGUCGAACGAAGUGGCGAACGGGUGUGUAACGCGUAAUCAAUCUGCCCUUCAGUGGGGGCCCACAGUUGGAAACGACUUCUAAUACAGCCUACUCAAGGAGGGGAUUGCUUCUGAUUAGCUUGUUGGUGGGGUAACGUCCCACCAAGGCGAUGAUCAGUAGCUGGUCGCAGAGGAUGAACGGCCACAUUGUGACUGAGACACGGCCCAUACUCCUGCGGGAGGUAACAGUGGGGAAAAGUCCGGAAUGGACGAAAGGCUGACGCAGCGAAGCCCCGGGAGUGAUGACUGCCUUCGGGUUGUAAAGCUCUGUUAAUCGGUAGGCGGUAUCGGAAUAGAAAGCCACGGCUAACUACGUGCGAGCGGCCACGGUAAUUC